UCCUUAGAUGUUCUGGGCCGCACGCGUGCUACACUGAGUGGAUCAGCGGGUCAGGUUGCGCGAAAGCGUUUCCUAAUCUUUAAAUCCGCUCGUGAUGGGGAUUGACGGUUGCAAUUUUCUGUCAUGAACGAGGAAUACCUUGUAAGCGCGGGUCAUCAUCCCGCGCUGAAUACGUCCCUGCCCUUUGUACACACCGCCCGUCGCUCCUACCGAUUGAGUGGUCCGGUGAGGCUUUGGGAUCUGAGCGGAAAGAGCGUUUCGCCGUUUCUGCUCGGAAAACUCAGUCGAACCUUAUCAUUUAGAGGAAGGAGAAGUCGUAACA
rnacentral:rRNA from 1 species